GCCAGGCGUGGUGGCACAUGCCUGUAAUCCCAACGGCUUGGGAGGCUGAGGCAGGAAGAUCACAAGUUCAAAGCCAGCCUCAGCAAUGGUAAGGCACUUAGCAACUCAGUGAGACCCUGUCUCUA
rnacentral:sRNA from 1 species